UACGUAGGGUGCAGGCGUUAAUCGGAAUUACUGGGCGUAAAGCGUGCGCAGGCGGUCUCUUAAGACAGGUGUGAAAUCCCCCGGGCUCAACCUGGGAAUUGCGAUGGAGACUGCAAGGCUUGAAUCCGGGAGAGGGAUGCGGAAUUCCAGGUGUAGCGGUGAAAUGCGUAGAUAUCAAGAGGAACACCUGAGGUGAAGACGGGUUGCUGGGCCGACACUGACGCUGACAGCGCGAAAGCCAGGGAGCAAACGGG
rnacentral:rRNA from 1 species